rnacentral:rRNA from 1 species
CACGUGGGUAACCUGCCUGUAAGACUGGGAUAACUCCGGGAAACCGGGGCUAAUACCGGAUGCUUGUUUGAACCGCAUGGUUCAAACAUAAAAGGUGGCUUCGGCUACCACUUACAGAUGGACCCGCGGCGCAUUAGCUAGUUGGUGAGGUAAUGGCUCACCAAGGCGACGAUGCGUAGCCGACCUGAGAGGGUGAUCGGCCACACUGGGACUGAGACACGGCCCAGACUCCUACGGGAGGCAGCAGUAGGGAAUCUUCCGCAAUGGACGAAAGUCUGACGGAGCAACGCCGCGUGAGUGAUGAAGGUUUUCGGAUCGUAAAGCUCUGUUGUUAGGGAAGAACAAGUACCGUUCGAAUAGGGCGGUACCUUGACGGUACCUAACCAGAAAGCCACGGCUAACUACGUGCCAGCAGCCGCGGUAAUACGUAGGUGGCAAGCGUUGUCCGGAAUUAUUGGGCGUAAAGGGCUCGCAGGCGGUUUCUUAAGUCUGAUGUGAAAGCCCCCGGCUCAACCGGGGAGGGUCAUUGGAAACUGGGGAACUUGAGUGCAGAAGAGGAGAGUGGAAUUCCACGUGUAGCGGUGAAAUGCGUAGAGAUGUGGAGGAACACCAGUGGCGAAGGCGACUCUCUGGUCUGUAACUGACGCUGAGGAGCGAAAGCGUGGGGAGCGAACAGGAUUAGAUACCCUGGUAGUCCACGCCGUAAACGAUGAGUGCUAAGUGUUAGGGGGUUUCCGCCCCUUAGUGCUGCAGCUAACGCAUUAAGCACUCCGCCUGGGGAGUACGGUCGCAAGACUGAAACUCAAAGGAAUUGACGGGGGCCCGCACAAGCGGUGGAGCAUGUGGUUUAAUU